GGUGAAAGGGAGAAUGGGGGCAGGGAUUCUGUAUCGGCAGCUCUGCCUCACUGUCUGUGUAAGGGAUAGUGGAGACAGACAGACAGACAGGCCCUGGCAGCUCAUGGGCCAGACACCCCACCCACCCACAGUGUCCUCCAAAGCUAGAUAAACUGGCAUCAGGAGUUACAUCACACAGAAGUGAGGUGGAGGAGGAAGAAAUCCUAGAGGAGGGUCCAAAGGUUUGGAGUAUGAGUUAGGAAAGAAUAAGACGCGGGAAGCCUUGAUUUGGGAGCCCAGGAAGAGGCUGAUCUGAGCAUCAAGUGUGACCCAAGCAUUGGUGCCUAUGGCCUGGACUUCAGUGUGGAGCUCAGGAGGCUAGGU
rnacentral:lncRNA from 1 species